rnacentral:sRNA from 1 species
ACGCCCUGCCCAACAGAAGCCGCAGUCCCGUGGGGUCUGGAGACGCAGUUUCCUGUUAAUGACAAUAAAUCCCUGCUCCCCCUGCCUCAGACAUCUACGCAGCGAAAUCGAGCCUGGCCUUGAGGGUCCACACCGCGAGGGAAGAUGCGUGCGCCCAUUACACUGGGCCAUCUAUGUUGGCGAUGGAUAUGUAGUUCAUCUGGCCCCUCCAAGUGAGGUUGCAGGAGCUGGUGCAGCCAGUGUCAUGUCCGCCCUGACUGACAAGGCCAUCGUGAAGAAGGAAUUGCUCUAUGAUGUGGCCGGGAGUGACAAGUACCAGGUCAACAACAAACACGAUGACAAGUACUCGCCGCUGCCCUGCAGCAAAAUCAUCCAGCGGGCGGAGGAGCUGGUGGGGCAGGAGGUGCUCUACAAGCUGACCAGUGAGAACUGCGAGCACUUUGUGAAUGAGCUGCGCUAUGGAGUUGCCCGCAGUGACCAG